ACACGCAUAGAAACCACACACGGGUCAGUGGUGGUUUUGGAACACCCCGGGAAAGGCGCUUGGGGUUUUUUGCUGCCGUGGAGGAACUUGUCGCCGGAAAACUUCUGUUGAUCGGAAGAACCUAUCUUUAUUUCCGCGUUUCUUUCUUUAGUAGAUAUUCGUAUCGAGUUUCUUUGCGGAAUUCAUCUAAGUAACUUAUUCGCACAGAUCGCAUUCGAUUAGGAUUUUUUAGAAUCAUAAGGUUUCGAUUCUGAGGAUCUCAGUUGUAUGCGAAUGUCCAUCGAAGAUGCAAACUAGGGUAUCUUUUUAACUCACCCCUGGAGCUCCGGUAUCUUUACAUAUUAUAUAGCAGAAAUUAGGAGAUGGAAGGUACCGAUCGAGAUGACGAUCGGACAUUUAGGGUUAAUAAUUUCAGCGGCGACGGAGCGGCGAGGCUGCGUGAGAGAGUGAUGGAUAAGUUGAAAGAGUUCAUGGGAGAUUACACGGACGACAUUCUGGUGGAAUAUGUCAUCGUCUUACUAAGGAAUGGAAAGCACAAGGAUGAGGCAAGGAAUGAGCUGAAUGUAUUUUUGGGGGAUGACAGUGAUUCUUUUGUUUCAUGGCUCUGGGACCAUCUCUCUACAAAUUUACAUUUGUAUGUUCAACCUUCAGUACGUGAUCAAGAAGAAAAUGCCGAAGUGAAACCAAUAUUUGGGGAAGAUGUGACAAGAAAUGAUCCUCAACAGUUGGAUUCUGAACCUGAAAGAGAAAAAGAUACCAAGGAAUCUAGAAGCCGGCGGAAUAGGGAAUGGAAAGGACUGGUAAGGGAGGUGGAUGAACCUCCUCCUCUUCGAAGUUCUGAGAUUGAAAGUUUUCAUCCAGAGGAGAAAAAUCAUCAGAAAUCUGGUCGUUUGAAGCGAUCUCGUUCUCCCAAGCCUUUGGUCCAGGAAAAACGGAGUCGACAAGAAGAGGGACAUCAAACUAAGAGAGAGGUAAUUUCCUAUCCAUCUAUUAAUGCUUCUCGUCGGCUGCUUCAAUUUGCUGUAAGAGAAGCAGUGGGUACUUUACGGCCAUCAAAUUUAAGAACAGAGGCAUCUUCAAAGCGUCUUCGGUCUGUGGUUUCUACAGCAACUGUAGAUUCAUCAACAGAUGAGCAGCCUCAGAGAAUAAAGUCUGUUGCAAGGGUGCCAAAUGCAAUGGCAACUGCAAUCAAAGCUGCAGCGGAGGCUGCGGAAGAUGUAGUUAAGGUUAGAUGUUCGGGGAAUGUGUUUGACCGUUUGGGUCAUAGUAUGGACGUUUCACGGGUGACCGACCAAUUGCCAGAAUUUAGGUCAUCAAACAUUAUGGAAACAGGUUUUGAUCAGACUCCAGGCUUGACUCACUCAGAUUAUGUUCGAAGACAUGAAUAUGAUGAAGAAGUCAACGGGAAUACGGCACUAUUGGACAGGGAAGCAGAAUUGGCUUCCGAUUCUGCAUCUGAUAAUGAUGGGUAUGAAGAUAUCAAUGUCGUGGGUCGUGGAGUCAGAGAUGCUUCUCAGACCGGCACAUCUAGUGGGAAGGAGAGGGAAUCGCUGACGGUGGAGUACAGUGUAGCCAAGAACAAGGAUGAGGUUGCAAGGAAAAAAUGGAUGCAAGAUCAGGUUCCUCCUAAUACGAUCACAAACACAUCUCGUAAGAUUGUGAAUAUCUCUGUGAAUGUAAACACAUGGAAACCACCAUAUUACCAGGAACCAAGGGAGAUCGCAGAAAUCAAGAAUUGUAAAGCUGUUCAGGAGACUCAGGUGGUUGCAGGGAAACCUGGUGCUCAGCUGUCAAAGGAGAAUAACAACAACAUUGUGGCUGGUAAUGAACAUGAAUCAUCCAUUACACAUUCUCAGAGAGAGUCUCUGAAGACUCUGUCUACCCCCCCUGGUUCAUGUUCUACAGGUCGUCCUUUGGAGGAUGCUGAAUCUAGGACCAUCUAUGUUAGCAAUGUUCAUUUUGCAGCCACCAAGGAUACCCUUUCCUGGCAUUUCAAUAAGUUUGGGGAAAUUCUAAAAGUUGUUAUUGUGACUGAUGCAGCAACUGGGCAACCAAAAGGGUCGGCCUAUGUGGGUUUAUGCACAAAGAAGCUUUGAUCCUUUUUUAUGCGCAACAUCUACAGAGAAUGCUUUGUCUCUGAACGGCACCUCCUUUAUGUCACUUAUUCUGAAGGUUGUCAAGAGAGGCUCUGCCAAUCAAGAAACUGCUUCUCUUAUGACUUGGCCUCGCAUGCCCUAAGCAUCACCAUUUGCUGCUAGGCUUGCGAGAGUUCCUUUUCCAAGGGGCAUCCCAGGUGCAUUCAGGGUUCGUCUCCCAAUCAAAUCUGGUGCCCGGAGCUUGCAGUGGAAGAGAGAUUCCCAAUCCACAACAGGUGGGGAGGGCAGUGCAAGUGUCCAGCAUUGAUCCACACUUACCAACAACAAUGUUCCAUCUGCUGCCCAGAGUCUUACCUACAUUCGUACAGGACCUAAUAAGCCAGAAGGAAAUUCUGCCCCUGCUCCUGCUUAAUUUAUCAGUUUUUUUCCUGGCUGCCCUGAUUACAUUCAGAAUGUUCACUUCUAUAAUAACAAGCCAAAAUUCGAUGACAAUUAUUUGAAGCCUUGUAUCAUCAAAAUCAGUUGCCGGGAAGAAUUAUACCGGUUUCGAUUUCUGUGACUGCCACAUUGAUAAGCAUGAUCUGAUUUGGUGGUCACUCUGAAGGGGAUUGGGUGAAAGAGGGGGGGGGGGUUCUAAAACUUCUUUUGAUUUGUUUUCUGUUUUUCCGGGGAUGAGGGCACAGUGGACAUUGAAGGAAAGGAGUGGAAGGCUGUGAUAGUUUCCUUAAUUCAUUCUUUUGUCACCUAAGUGCCUUUUUGCGGGGAGAAAUGAUGCCAUCUGUGUAGAAAGAAAUAUGUGAAUGUAGAGAGAAGUAGAAUCCUGGGCUUUGAAGACUUCUAGGUAAUCUUUAAACUUCAGUUAAGGUGUUAUUUGCACUCGCCUAGGGGAAGAAAAAGGAAAACAAAAUGAAGCAGAGUAAAAUUACAAAAGUUCAUUCUGAUGGCGUCUGUUGCACUUAUUUGUCAUCCUGUAUAUUUCCUUACAAUCUUGUGUUAGUAAAACAUCAAUUUUCUUUUUCGGAGUUCA